AACGAACGCUGGCGGCAGGCCUAAUACAUGCAAGUCGAACGCUCUAGCAAUGGAGAGUGGCAGACGGGUGAGUAACGCGUGGGAACCUUCCCAGUGGUACGGAAUAGCUCAGGGAAACUUGAGGUAAUACCGUAUACGCCCUUCGGGGGAAAGAUUUAUCGCCAUUGGAUGGGCCCGCGUCGGAUUAGCUAGUUGGCGGGGUAAUGGCCUACCAAGGCGACGAUCCGUAGCUGGUCUGAGAGGAUGAUCAGCCACACUGGGACUGAGACACGGCCCAGACUCCUACGGGAGGCAGAAGUAGGGAAUAUUGGACAAUGGGCGAAAGCCUGAUCCAGCCAUGCCGCGUGAGUGACGAAGGCCUUCGGGUUGUAAAGCUCUUUUGGCGGGGACGAUAAUGACGGUACCCGCAGAAUAAGCUCCGGCUAACUUCGUGCCAGCAGCCGCCGUAAAAC
rnacentral:rRNA from 1 species